rnacentral:rRNA from 1 species
CGGACGGGUGAGUAACGCGUGAGAAUCUAACUUCAGGACGGGGACAACAGUUGGAAACGACUGCUAAUACCCGAUGUGCCGCAAGGUGAAACCUAAUUGGCCUGAAGAAGAGCUUGCGUCUGAUUAGCUAGUUGGUGGGGUAAAGGCCUACCAAGGCAACGAUCAGUAGCUGGUCUGAGAGGAUGAGCAGCCACACUGGGACUGAGACACGGCCCAGACUCCUACGGGAGGCAGCAGUGGGGAAUUUUCCGCAAUGGGCGAAAGCCUGACGGAGCAACGCCGCGUGAGGGAGGAAGGUCUUUGGAUUGUAAACCUCUUUUCUCAAGGAAGAAGUUCUGACGGUACUUGAGGAAUCAGCCUCGGCUAACUCCGUGCCAGCAGCCGCGGUAAUACGGGGGAGGCAAGCGUUAUCCGGAAUUAUUGGGCGUAAAGCGUCCGCAGGUGGUCAGCCAAGUCUGCCGUCAAAUCAGGUUGCUUAACGACCUAAAGGCGGUGGAAACUGGCAGACUAGAGAUCAGUAGGGGUAGCAGGAAUUCCCAGUGUAGCGGUGAAAUGCGUAGAGAUUGGGAAGAACAUCGGUGGCGAAAGCGUGCUACUGGGCUGUAUCUGACACUCAGGGACGAAAGCUAGGGGA